UGAGAGGAAAGAAAGAAAGAUGUAUUCACAGAACAGCUAAUAGGCAGAACCCUAAGCCUACCAUGGUUUCUGGAUAAUGAGUUGUCAGCCGUGAUAGUAAUACUAGGUCUGAAGUGGAAUUAUUGAGCUGAUUGUGGGAAACCUCUUGUAUCUACAUUCUGCCAGAGUCCAAGUAACAAGCUGCAAACAAGGCAAAAGUCGAGCUGAACCCACGAAAAGGUGGAGAAUUUGCACCCUCAUUUCUCAUCUGGAGAUGACCCACAAAACUAGAGCAAUCUGGCAACCAUAACUACUGCUGAAUUGAGUAGAAGCAUGAACCCUAGAUGAGAUUCAACAGGUGGAUCCUGGGCAUAGAAACUGCCUUAGAAUCAAAGGAUUCUGAAUUCACCAGGAAUUUAUUAUGAAUAUUAGAAGUGAAUUGAGCUCACAGUCCUUCAGCAACAAUGACAACACUCCAGGUCACCACAACCUUUCAUUAUUUCAGUAGUGUAAUUUAAGGUGUAAUGAAUGGGUGGUGGUGGUGGUGGUUCCCUUUUCCCCAUUCAUGUGAGGACUUUUCCCAGACAACAAAGGGUUAAGCUGGGGGGGAGGCACAUGCUAAUGAUGUUGACAUCACAUUAAGGGUUACAUCAUAGCUGAUGAAAUGUCCAUCUGACCAAUCAGUUGAGUAAGACUGGGAAGUUCAAAAAACCUCCAAUCAGGGGUUUUAAAAGGCCACUGGAGAGCAUGCAUUCUUGAGUCCUCUUUUGUUCUAUCCUGAGGUUGGAUCCAGCUAGGCCAUGGAGGCCACCUCCCAGCAUCCAGUGAUAUCAAGGACUACAAAUCCCAUCUGAUUGUGAAUAGCUUAGAAAUACAUGUUAGCUAGUAUGACUAGGUUUAUGGAUUUAUUUUCUUGGGCUUGCCUGAAAUGACUGUCCUGUAAUUAUACAUUCUUUACCUGAAAGGUAAGGAGGCCUUGUAUGAAAUGAUAGCCUUUUGCUCUAUACAAUCUAGUUAGAAUAAAGCUUUCUUCAAAAGGACCUUGCCUCUUCUUAAUACU